AGUGAACGCUGGCGGUAGGCCUAACACAUGCAAGUCGAACGGCAGCACAGUAAGAGCUUGCUCUUACGGGUGGCGAGUGGCGGACGGGUGAGGAAUACAUCGGAAUCUACUUUUUCGUGGGGGAUAACGUAGGGAAACUUACGCUAAUACCGCAUACGACCUACGGGUGAAAGCAGGGGAUCUUCGGACCUUGCGCGAUUGAAUGCGCCGAUGUCGGAUUAGCUAGUUGGCGGGGUAAAGGCCCACCAAGGCGACGAUCCGUAGCUGGUCUGAGAGGAUGAUCAGCCACACUGGAACUGAGACACGGUCCAGACUCCUACGGGAGGCAGCAGUGGGGAAUAUUGGACAAUGGGCGCAAGCCUGAUCCAGCCAUACCGCGUGGGUGAAGAAGGCCUUCGGGUUGUAAAGCCCUUUUGUUGGGAAAGAAAAGCAGCAGGUUAAUACCCCGCUGUUCCGACGGUACCCAAAGAAUAAGCACCGGCUAACCUCGUG
rnacentral:rRNA from 1 species